rnacentral:misc_RNA from 1 species
UCUUCGUAGGUGAACCUGCGGAGGGAUCAUUGAUGAAAUUAAACAUGCCUUUGCUCUUUAUUGAGCUCUGCGCAUUCAUCUCCAUACACACUGUGCACCUUUUUUUUUCCCUUCUGGCAUGCUGAGGAAAGGGGUUCUCUUUUUGUGGGAAUCUCCGAUUACUCGCGGCUGGAGAGAAACUCUUGUGAAUGUAACACGUCUCGGAGUUAUUACCAUUUCCUGUAUUGGAAUACGUCUUAACAACUAUUAACGGUGGACCUCUUGGCUCUCGUAUCGAUGAAGAACGCAGC